AAUUCAGGGCUCUGUUAGGCAGAAGAAAGGUGGAUGCUUCUUGAAUAGCACCCAACACUCAACUACAAUUUAAUUUGACAGGAACCCGGAGGCCUUGCCCAUAGAAAUCUCUCACAGUUGCUUGGAGAGAGAGCACUCAAUACAAAAAUCUUAUGGCAGCAAUCUUGUGGCCUCAAGCGUGCCACGGACUUGGUGUGGAGGGUGGGGUAAGGCUCAGUGUCUUUUGAAGAUGAAGCAGAAGAAUAGAUUGUACUGACUUAGCAGAGUGGAAAAUGUUUAAUCCCAAGAGAUGCCUACAAAGGCAGCUGAGCCAAACCACAGACUCCUAGAAGGGCUUGGGUUAGGGUUCUCAAGUGUCUAGAUAAGCAGAGGGAAGGCCAAUUUACUGAGCGGGGAGAUCCACAGACUCUUUCUCCCUCUUGGCUCCCAGAAUGCUGGGGUCAGGCUUGCAGUCUUAGGAGAUUGGCGAACCUUUUUGGAGAGGAUCUGCAGAUACCAACACUUUCAGGGUUUCUUCAGGUCCAGGAGUGCCAGGCUCCUGUGGACUCUUCCUUUGGGGAAGCAAAGGAAGA
rnacentral:lncRNA from 1 species